rnacentral:lncRNA from 1 species
CAUCGGUUCUUUGUCAGCCUCCUGAAAAUGCUUUGUCUUUUCCCAGUCUAGGUGGAAAUGACCUCUGGCUCUGAGGGAAAACCCAGGAAGACCGGUUAAAGCUGUGUUUGCUCAGGAGUGAGCCUAAAAAACAAGACGCAGAAAGUGGCUGGAAACUGAAGGCUGCCUCAGGCACUCUCUGAACGCCCCUUGGGGGGGCGGGGAGGGCAGAAGCUCACUGGCCCAGGGCCCACACAUAGCCCGACUGUUUACACUUGAAGGAUUCACAGGUGGGAGACCUCCGGAGAGUACUUCCACUGAGUUGGUUGCUAAAGGAAACAAAGACAAACAACAAAAGAGGAAAGUUAUUUUACAUCUGGGUUCUCAGAGAGCAAAGACAAAAACGCUUCAUUUUGCACGUUCCCCAAGAGACGGCCCAGAUGUUGCAUCAUCUGGUAAGACACGCCAAGGACGGAAUCCAGAUUCCCGUGAGAGGAGAGAUUUGGGGUGCUCAUGAAAGAACUUGGACACACACACAUACACACAUAUAUGCAUAUAUAUGUAUAUACACACAUACACACAUGUAUACAUAUAUAUGUGUAUAUACACACACAUUAUAUAUAUAUGUAUAUAUAUAUAUAUAUAUAUAUAUAUAUAUAUAAAUUUCACUUUCACUUAACCAUGGGAAUGAGCCAACCUUGAAACCUU